GGCUUGGCAGAAUCAGCGG
rnacentral:snRNA from 1 species